AACAUUCAUGGAAACCAUGAUAUUGGGGUGAUUGACCCCCCCCAAAUGGUGUUAGGUUCCUUAACUAAACAAUCCACUCGUGCGGUGAGAGUGGAUGGAGCAGCCUGUAUUGGGAGAGUGACUAUUUCAACUUUAAACCUUCCUGCACAUCAGCUGAGCAAUAUGGGGAGGUGUGAAAUUUAAGUAGUACUCUCCCCAUUUUCCCCUGAUUUAGGGACAAAAAACCUGGAUAACAUCCAAGCAAUUCUAAGGCUGCCAGAGGGCCAUCACUAAUCAUGACACUGGGUUAGUUAUACUAAGCAUUUUGGAGAGAGACAGGGAUCUGAACAUGGAGCUGCUGUUUUUGGCAGCAACCCAGUAUUCCUUUUUUAUUUCCUGUUUUACAUUCUGAAUAAGUUAUUGAAUAUGGGUGUUGUUGUUUUUUAAAUUGUGUAACCUUCACUGAUAUGCUGCUUUCAAAUAGUUGUGUGUGUGUGUUUUCAAUUCUUCUCUGUUUCUUGAAAUUGGCUGGAAUGGUGUGUAGGAGGAAGACAUGAAGCAUGCCAGAAAGAGAAAUGGCUGCUCUGCUUGGUAAUGAGGAGCAGUCAAAAGGCUGGUGACAGACACCAAGUGGAUGGGACCUAGAGAGCUGUUUCCAGGAAGAAGGGAGUUCUUUGUUAGAGAAGCGAGGCUGGAGGUGCACAGGAGGACAUGUGGCCAUGGAGGUUGGCUGCAGGAGAAUAACUCUGCAGAUCCUUGAAAGAUCAGGAGGGCAGGAAGCUUGAAUUCUCAUCUGGAGUUUGGUGAGUUCAGGGCAAGGAAGGGCUCAUCACUUCAGAAAGUAUAGCAUAGGGGAAAGUUUGUUUAGUCAGAUUUUGUGUUAGGGAUGUUAUAUUUAUUUGGUGUGUGUGCUUUUGCAUAUUCCUGAUACUGUUAUGUUAUUGUUUCCCUGUAACACAGUUAAAAUUAGAAAACUAGCCUAUGCCCACCCUACCUAGGGCAUUGCAAAAGACUCUAUAAAUAUUUAAGCGUG